GCCGCGAAUUCGCCCUUAGAGUUUGAUUAUGGCUCAGGACGAACGCUGGCGGCGUGCCUAAUACAUGCAAGUCGAACGCUUCUUUCCUCCCGAGUGCUUGCACUCAAUUGGAAAGAGGAGUGGCGGACGGGUGAGUAACACGUGGGUAACCUACCCAUCAGAGGGGGAUAACACUUGGAAACAGGUGCUAAUACCGCAUAACAGUUUAUGCCGCAUGGCAUAAGAGUGAAAGGCGCUUUCGGGUGUCACUGAUGGAUGGACCCGCGGUGCAUUAGCUAGUUGGUGAGGUAACGGCUCACCAAGGCCACGAUGCAUAGCCGACCUGAGAGGGUGAUCGGCCACACUGGGACUGAGACACGGCCCAGACUCCUACGGGAGGCAGCAGUAGGGAAUCUUCGGCAAUGGACGAAAGUCUGACCGAGCAACGCCGCGUGAGUGAAGAAGGUUUUCGGAUCGUAAAACUCUGUUGUUAGAGAAGAACAAGGACGUUAGUAACUGAACGUCCCCUGACGGUAUCUAACCAGAAAGCCACGGCUAACUACGUGCCAGCAGCCGCGGUAAUACGUAGGUGGCAAGCGUUGUCCGGAUUUAUUGGGCGUAAAGCGAGCGCAGGCGGUUUCUUAAGUCUGAUGUGAAAGCCCCCGGCUCAACCGGGGAGGGUCAUUGGAAACUGGGAGACUUGAGUGCAGAAGAGGAGAGUGGAAUUCCAUGUGUAGCGGUGAAAUGCGUAGAUAUAUGGAGGAACACCA
rnacentral:rRNA from 1 species